CUCAGCAGAAAAUAACAAAAGCAUUUCUCUUUUAACUCGUUUCGUUUCCAAAACACAAAACCAGUCGUAUACAUUUUAGUCUGAAAAAUCCCAGCUUUCCGAUUUUCCGACACCUUUUCCAGCUGCAAAGUCCUCUGAGAAACAGCAAAAAUGUGUGGAGGUGCUAUAAUAUCCGAUUUCAUAGCGCCGACUCGGUCGCGGCUCACCGCCGACUACCUCUGGCCCGAUCUCAAAAAAUCCAGUUCGGGAAAGCGGUUCUCGAAGCCACUCAGGCCCGAAAUCGUUGACUUAGACGACGACUUCGAGGCUGAUUUCCAGGAAUUCAAGGACGAGUCUGAUGUGGACGAAGAUGAUGACAUGGUUGAGGCCAAGCCCUCUGCUUUCUCUGCUGGAAAGCCCUCUUCUGCUCGUAUUAUUGAAGGCUCUACGACUGUGAAAUCAGUGGAGUUCAAUGGGCAGGCUGAGAAAUCUGCAAAGAGAAAGAGGAAGAACCAGUACAGGGGAAUUCGCCAGCGCCCAUGGGGUAAGUGGGCUGCAGAGAUCCGAGACCCAAGAAAAGGGGUCCGGGUUUGGCUUGGAACUUUCAACACUGCGGAAGAAGCUGCAAGGGCUUAUGAUGCCGAGGCACGUAGAAUUCGUGGCAAGAAAGCCAAGGUUAAUUUUCCUGAAGAAACCCCACGAUCUUCUGCAAAGCGUUCUGUCAAGGCAAAUCCUCAGAAAAUGCUACCCAAGACAAACAUGAAUGCCAUUCAGCCUAAUCUGAACCAGAAUAUCAAUUUUGUGAAUGACCCAAAUCAGGACUACUACAAUGCUAUGGGUUUUCUGGAUGAAAAGCCGCCAACUAAUAACUUUGGGUAUAUGUCCACCUUCCCGGCCAAUGGGGAUGUUGCGCUGAAAUCCUCUACUCCAUCCGAUGCUGUCCCGCUGUAUUUCAGCUCUGAUCAGGGAAGCAAUUCUUUUGAUUGUUCUGACUUUGGCUGGGGAGAACAAGGUUCAAAGACUCCAGAAAUAUCAUCUGUUCUUUCAUCUGUUAUGGAAGAAAGUGAUGACUCACUGUUUCUGGAGGAUGCUAGCCCAACGAAGAAACUGAAGUCUAACCCAGAGGAUCUGGUGCCUGUUCAGGAUAAUGCAGGAAAGACACUGACUGAUGAGCUCUCAGCAUUUGAGAUGAAGUACUUUCAGACGCCAUAUCUUGAUGGGAGCUGGGAUGCUUCAGUGGACGUCUUCCUCAGUGCAGAUGCAACUCAGGAUGGUGGCAACUCAGUGGACCUUUGGAGCUUCGAUGACCUGGUUGGGGGAGGUUUCUGAGCGAACUUUUCCCCAUCCAUUCUAUUUUAUGUAAAUAAAGCUACAUGUUAGAUGGUUUUCUCUGGGUUUGGAGUGCAAGCUGUUGAACAUGCAUAAGGCUUGUAUGGGGAGUAUUUUAAGCCGUAGCAAUGGUCAAUGGAGAGCAUAUAGGUAUUAGGUUUACUUUCGCCUCCAAAGACUUAGAAUUUGGGUUGCUGAACUUGAUGUUUGUAUUCAUGACAUUGUGUGAGUGAGCUUAUGAUGGAUGAUACUGAAACCUGAUAAUUGUGAACUUCCGUUAAAUUUAUUUAGGUCCUACUUUUUACAAGAGGCCAUCAAAUUUUGCAUA